rnacentral:rRNA from 1 species
CACGUAGGGCGCAAGCGUUGUCCGGAAUUACUGGGCGUAAAGCGUGCGCAGGCGGUUUGCUAAGACAGGUGUGAAAUCCCCGGGCUUAACCUGGGAACUGCGCUUGUAACUGGCAAGCUAGAGUGUGGCAGAGGGGGGUGGAAUUCCACGUGUAGCAGUGAAAUGCGUAGAGAUGUGGAGGAACACCGAUGGCGAAGGCAGCCCCCUGGGCUAACACUGACGCUCAUGCACGAAAGCGUGGGGAGCAAACAGG